rnacentral:rRNA from 1 species
CGGCGAGUGAAGCGGCACAAGCUCAAAUUUGAAAUCUGGCUCUUUCAGGGUCCGAGUUGUAAUUUGUAGAAGAUGCUUCGGGUGUGGCCCCGGUCUAAGUUCCUUGGAACAGGACGUCAUAGAGGGUGAGAAUCCCGUAUGUGACUGGGUGCCUACGCUCAUGUGAAGCUCUUUCGACGAGUCGAGUUGUUUGGGAAUGCAGCUCAAAAUGGGUGGUAAAUUUCAUCUAAAGCUAAAUAUUGGCCAGAGACCGAUAGCGCACAAGUAGAGUGAUCGAAAGAUGAAAAGCACUUUGGAAAGAGAGUUAAACAGUACGUGAAAUUGUUGAAAGGGAAGCGCUUGCAAUCAGACUUGCGCCUGGGUGAUCAUCCGGGGUUCUCCCCGGUGCACUCGCUCAGGCUCAGGCCAGCAUCGGUUUGGGUGGUUGGAUAAAGGCCUAGGGAACGUGGCCCCUCUCGGGGGGUGUUAUAGCCCUAGGUGCCAUGCAGCCUACCUGGACCGAGGACCGCGCUUCGGCUAGGAUGCUGGCGUAAUGGUUGUAAGCGACCCGUCUUGAAACACGGACCAAGGAGUCUAACAUCUAUGCGAGUGUUUGGGUGUCAAACCCAUACGCGUAAUGAAAGUGAACGGAGGUGAGAACCCUUUAGGGUGCAUCAUCGACCGAUCCUGAUGUCUUCGGAUGGAUUUGAGUAAGAGCAUAGCUGUUGGGACCCGAAAGAUGGUGAACUAUGCGUGAAUAGGGUGAAGCCAGAGGAAACUCUGGUGGAGGCUCGCAGCGGUUCUGACGUGCAAAUCGAUCGUCAAAUUUGCGUAUAGGGGCGAAAGACUAAUCGAACCAU